rnacentral:rRNA from 1 species
UACGUAGGGGGCAAGCGUUGUCCGGAAUUACUGGGCGUAAAGCGCGUGUAGGCGGCAGGGCAUGUCGGAUGUGAAAUCCCGUGGCUCAACCACGGAAGUGCACCCGAAACUGCCCAGCUUGAGUCUCGGAGAGGAAGGCGGAAUGCUUGGUGUAGAGGUGAAAUUCGUAGAUAUCAAGCGGAACACCGGUGGCGAAGGCGGCCUUCUGGACGAUGACUGACGCUGAGACGCGAAAGCGUGGGGAGCAAACAGG